UACGUAGGGUGCGAGCGUUGUCCGGAAUUAUUGGGCGUAAAGGGCUCGUAGGCGGUCUGUCACGUCGGGAGUGAAAACUCAGGGCUUAACCCUGAGCCUGCUUCCGAUACGGGCAGACUAGAGGUAUGCAGGGGAGAACGGAAUUCCUGGUGUAGCGGUGAAAUGCGCAGAUAUCAGGAGGAACACCGGUGGCGAAGGCGGGUCUCUGGGCAGUAACUGACGCUGAGGAGCGAAAGCGUGGGGAGCGAACAGG
rnacentral:rRNA from 1 species